GCUUACCAUGCAAGUCGAACGCACCUUUCGGGGUGAGUGGCAGACGGGUGAGUAACACGUGGGAACGUACCCCUUUGUUCGGAAUAACCCUGGGAAACUAGGGCUAAUACCGGAUACGGCCGAGAGGCGAAAGGUUUACUGCAGAGGGAUCGGCCCGCGUCCGAUUAGCUAGUAGGUGGGGUAAUGGCUCACCUAGGCGACGAUCGGUAGCUGGUCUGAGAGGAUGACCAGCCACAUUGGGACUGAGACACGGCCCAAACUCCUACGGGAGGCAGCAGUGGGGAAUAUUGGACAAUGGGCGCAAGCCUGAUCCAGCCAUGCCGCGUGAGUGAUGACGGCCUUAGGGUUGUAAAGCUCUUUUACCUGGGAAGAUAAUGACGGUACCAGGAGAAUAAGCCCCGGCUAACUUCGUGCCAGCAGCCGCGGUAAUACGAAGGGGGCUAGCGUUGUUCGGAUUUACUGGGCGUAAAGGGCGCGUAGGCGGGCGAUUAAGUCAGGGGUGAAAUCCCAAGGCUCAACCUUGGAACUGCCUUUGAUACUGAUUGUCUUGAGUCCGGGAGAGGUGAGUGGAACUGCGAGUGUAGAGGUGAAAUUCGUAGAUAUUCGCAAGAACACCAGUGGCGAAGGCGGCUCACUGGCCCGGAACUGACGCUGAGGCGCGAAAGCGUGGGGAGCAAACAGGAUUAGAUACCCUGGUAGUCCACGCCUUAAACGAUGGAUGCUAGCCGUUGGCCAGCUUGCUGGGCAGUGGCGCCGUUAACACUUUAGCAUCCGCCUGGGAGUACGUCGCAGA
rnacentral:rRNA from 1 species